GAUGAAUGCUGGCGGCGUGCCUAAUACAUGCAAGUCGAGCGAAUGGAUUAAGAGCUUGCUCUUAUGAAGUUAGCGGCGGACGGGUGAGUAACACGUGGGUAACCUGCCCAUAAGACUGGGAUAACUCCGGGAAACCGGGGCUAAUACCGGAUAACAUUUUGAACCGCAUGGUUCGAAAUUGAAAGGCGGCUUCGGCUGUUACUUAUGGAUGGACCCGCGUCGCAUUAGCUAGUUGGUGAGGUAACGGCUGACCAAGGCAACGAUGCGUAGCCGACCUGAGAGGGUGAACGGCCACACUGGGACUGAGACACGGCCCAGACUCCUACGGGAGGCAGCAGUAGGGAAUCUUCCGCAAUGGACGAAAGUCUGACGGAGCAACGCCGCGUGAGUGAUGAAGGCUUUCGGGUCGUAAAACUCUGUUGUUAGGGAAGAACAAGUGCUAGUUGAAUAAGCUGGCACCUUGACGGUACCUAACCAGAAAGCCACGGCUAACUACGUGCCAGCCGCCGCGGUAA
rnacentral:rRNA from 1 species